ACGUUUUACAAAUUUUCUAUCAUUCUUUUCCAUCUUUUUCUACCUUCCACCUUCUUCUUCUUCUAUCUUCUCCGACUCAGCUUUUCCCUCCGUUCAGAUUACAAACCAUUGUUCCUUCUCUCCCUCCUUUCGUUGUUAUUCUCCCUUAUUUGAUCCAAAUUGAAAACCCUAUUCAUUUUUUUUAUAAACCAAAACCCUAUUCCUUAAUAUUAUGUUCAAAACCAUAUGGAGAGAACCCUAACUUUUGUUUACCCCAAAUUUCGUAACAUGACGAGAACCCAUCUUUACAAAUUUAGUCUAUAACAAAAAAGAAGACAAUUUCUUCUCUUCUCCGGUCG
rnacentral:lncRNA from 1 species